rnacentral:rRNA from 1 species
UGCGGAGGGUGCGAGCGUUGUCCGGAAUCACUGGGCGUAAAGGGCGCGUAGGCGGCGCGGGUAGUCAUCGGUGAAAGUUCAGGGCUCAACUCUGAAUCGGCCGGUGAUACUCCCGUGCUCGAGCACUGUAGAGGCAGGUGGAAUUCCGGGUGUAGCGGUGGAAUGCGUAGAGAUCCGGAAGAACACCGGUGGCGAAGGCGGCCUGCUGGGCAGUAGCUGACGCUGAUGCGCGACAGCGUGGGGAGCAAACAGG